CGCAUCCCCGCUCAAGCAGAUAAUACCCCAAAUCAUGCGAAAGUAAGGAAGUGUGCUUCACUACUAACUCCUGAUGUUACGUUGUCGGUCGCCAACGUAACCCUCCGCGAAGUUAGAAGCCAUACACUUAGAUUCAACUCUGACUUUUUAGAGUUAUCAAGGUACCCAAUCAUGAUACUUUCGCUCACAAGUCAAAUAGACCUCGUCUCUCACGAGCCUAUUUCCUAUAGUCCAACCAGCCUAAGGUUUGCUAGGUCCACUAAGACUCAACCCUAGGCUCUGAUACCAAACUAAUCUGUCACGCCCCGGGACCCAGCGGAAGCCCGCCCGGCGCGUGCCCAGACCCGCCAUAUGUCUAAAACAUACAAGGCAUCUAAAACAAAACGAUGAAAGAAAUAACGAAGCGAUAAAUAAAGCAACAAAAGGAGAAUAUCUAGAAGUAUCAGAGCAAAGUUUAUCUAUAAGCUACAAUAAGGAAAAAGAACAUAAGGCUAAAUCCACUAUGUAAAAAAAUAAAGUAAUACAAUAGGAGUCCCAAAUACAAGAGCUAAACAAGGUACAUAGGUGGUCUCUAUACAUGGUACAAAACCUCUCUCACACA
rnacentral:lncRNA from 1 species